rnacentral:rRNA from 1 species
CACGUAGGGGGCAAGCGUUGUCCGGAAUUACUGGGCGUAAAGAGCGCGUAGGUGGUUAAGUAAGUCAGGUGUGAAAGGCCAGGGCUCAACCCUGGGACUGCACUUGAAACUGCUUAACUUGAGGGCAGGAGAGGUAAGUGGAAUUCCCAGUGUAGCGGUGAAAUGCGUAGAUAUUGGGAGGAACACCAGUGGCGAAAGCGACUUACUGGCCUGGCUCUGACACUGAGGCGCGAAAGCGUGGGGAGCGAACAGGAUUAGAUACCCUGGUAGUCCACGCCGUAAACGAUGGGUACUAGGUGUAGGAGGUAUCGACCCCUUCUGUGCCGCAGCAAACGCAUUAAGUACCCCGCCUGGGGAGUACGGCCGCAAGGUUGAA